UACGUAGGGUGCAAGCGUUAUCCGGAAUUAUUGGGCGUAAAGAGCGUGUAGGCGGUUUGGUAGGUCCGUUGUGAAAACUCGAGGCUCAACCUCGAGACGCCGAUGGAAACCAUCAGACUAGAGUCCGGAAGAGGAGAGUGGAAUUCCUGGUGUAGCGGUGAAAUGCGCAAAUAUCAGGAAGAACACCCGUGGCUAAGGCGGCUCUCUAGUACGGUACUGACGCUGAGACGCGAAAGCGUGGGGAGCGAACAGG
rnacentral:rRNA from 1 species